GUUUAGGGGCCCGAACACCUUCUCCUGGCCCCUGUCUGCUGUGCUCCCACUUUACCCCCCAAAGUGGACUCCAUUUUGGACUUGAUUGGUAACCAGGUCCUGCAAGCCGUGCCCCAAGACUGGAGAGUUCAGAGAAAGGGAUCUAGUCCAGGCUCUUCUGCUAAUUGGCUAAGUAGCCCCAGGCAAAUCACAUGGUCUCCCAGAGCUCCCUCCUCAAACUCAGAACGGUAGCUGGAUCAGUCAGUCACAAGGCAGAAUGCAGUGUUCUCACAGUAGAACCCACUGGUCUCCUUCCCUGGAGCAAGUCCCACUGUGCAAC